UCAAAGUCAGCUCCCUCAGCCCCAUACUGAACCCACUAGGGACUGAAACAAUUUUCAGAAGAGGACAUCUAAUGAUUUCCAACUGUCUUAGAGUUGGAGACACCUCAAAUUCAACCAAGUUGGGGCAAGAAGUUAUAGAAAGAGAGAUGAGGUUCAUAAACACACCCUUGACAUUCACAUGGGCAAUGGACAGUUUACAAAGUUGUAGAGAUGCCAAAGAAGAGACUGAGCCACAAAUCAAGGCAAAAGACUCAUUUGAGACCUGGCACUCAUCCAGAACUAGCUUCCCUAGAAGGGAGAGAUUUGAGAAGCAUUGGUGUGAUAUAUAGAGGCCAGAAUUUCCUAUCAAUUCCAUUUCCUUCAAUUUUGAGAGAUUGCCAAUGCUAAAUGGCAACUGCACCAGAUCUCUACACUCCUUUAUGCGUAAAACCUCUAAAUUGCACAAAUGUCCUAUCUGCUCUGGUAAUUCAACCAGCCCACAUGAUGAUAAAACCAGGGUUUUAAGGUUCCUCAGCUGCCCAAUUGAUGGAACCAAGUUCUUGAGAUUUGGGCAACCAUCCAAUGUGAAAAUAAGUAAAUUACAAAGUUCACCAAAGGAAGAGGGCAAUUCCACCAGUUCAGGACCUCUUAUAUCAAGCCGGAACAAAAAUGAUAACUGCCCAAAAUUACAAGGUAGCUUGAUGAAGUCCCUACUCGAGAGCAUUAGAACGCAUAAAUAAGGCAGCUGAACAAUGGACGGUAGAAGAUUGAAGCUCUUACAAGACAACAGAUUAAGGAAUACUAGGCUUCGAGAAUAAAUUGGAUGCUGCAGAUCAAGAAGUUCACACCCAGAGAUAUCCAGAUAUGUUAGCUGAGCUAAAUGAUCGAAUGGAAGUGCCAUAAGUUGCUUACAAUUGCGCAAAUUUAAGUCGACCAAGCUUGAAAGAUGAACAAAAGAAUCAGGAAGUCUUCCCAAUUUCUCACAACCUGACAAAUUAAGAAUCCUCAGAUACCUUAAAUUUUCAAACAAUGGUGGUAAAUUUUCAAGACUGAUGCACCCUGACAUGUCUAGAUGAACCAAAGAUUGCAAAUUGCAUAUCUCAUCAGGAAGGGUGACUAGAGCUUUGCAGUCUUUCAAAACCAGUGUUUUUAAGUGCACUAGCUUUCCUAUUGAUGUUGGAAUUGCAAUGAGAUUUUCACAUCCUUGAAGUUGAAGGUGCCUUAACUGGAGAGGGACCUGCAACCAAUGAGAGCAAACAAAUUUAGAAGAACUCCAAAAAACAGUUACAUGGGAAAUGCAUGUAAGAAAUAACUACCUCUGAAUUCUCCUGGUCAUCCCACAAAUGAGAGAAUUGACCUCCUUCUAACUCGAGAACUCGCAAAUUGGCUAGGGGAAGUCCCUUUGGAAGGGUAACAUAAGGGCAAAAUCGCCAACGUAGCCAUAUGAUUCCCUUUGGUAAUUUGUUGAAUUCCCCUUCAAUACAAGUAUCUUCUAAGAAAAGCAAUUUCAAUUUACUCAUCUUUGUGAAGCACUGCACAGGCCAAGCUCUGAGAAGACCGAUCCCGUCUUCUUUCCAAAUAAUAGAUGAAGGGACCAUGUUCAGUUCUGACAUCUUAGAGGAAUAUGACCUUCUCUCCACUAGACUGAGAUACUCCACAUUCAUGAAGCCCUGAACCAUUUGAAACCACAGAACUCUGUCAGCUUUUAGGUAUGAAAGAAAGUUAAACUGAAGCAACUAGUUCUAGGUGCAUCUAUUCCAUGAAACCACACGGAACGAAAAAAUACAAUACAGAAAUGUGGAGAAAGAAAAAAAAUUAAAAGAAUGAGAUAAUAUAAAAAAAAGCAGAAAGCUGAAACAUGAUUUUCAAAUAAAUAAAAAAUGUUAAAAACCCGCUAGUUACUUGUUGAAAGGAGCAAAUACAACCACAUUCACUAAAUUUCAGUGUUAUGUGAUUAUUUCUUCAAAGUGAGGAUGCUUUGGCUGUUUCUAAAAUUAGGAAGAUAUCAGCAAAAGAAGUAAUAUUCAUUUUAAGAAUGCAGUUAUAGAGCAUAUGAAUCAACAUUCCUGGGGCCAUCAAUAUGAUCGGAAUUGUACGCACAUUUUAGAGCAGAAUGAGCUAUGAGAAGAGGAAAUGGUAAUACUAAAAACUUAUUAUGUCAUUUAAGAGGACAUUAAGGGUUUUAAAUAACUUUGGCCAUAUAGACUACAUGAAAUAGAACUAAUUUAUUGAUCUAAGACACUCUUUUAUAAAUAGACCAAACCAUCAAUGGGGAAAGUUACCAAAAAUUCAAAAAACAAGCACUUGAGUUGUCAUCAUUUAUACACAUGUCCUGGCAUAAUAACAGAUGACUUACAGUGUUUUGUUGCAAGGCUUUCUGCACGUGCUUCUCCUGCCACAAUCGUGUACAUGAGCUAGGAUCUUUCAUGUAGUCUUCAUUAAGAGACUGUAAGAAAAAUUGUUUUAACUGUGAAUGGAUUGAGAGCCUCUCACUGUUCGGUUCUUGUUUCACUAUGCUUUUUUGUGUGAGUUUGUUUAGACCCAUAUCACUAGAGAUCCCUAAGGAAUUCCAAAAGCUAACCGCGAUAUCCUUGUCUUCUCCAUCCAAGAAACAUGCAAUAUCAAGAACAACAUUCUUUUCUGUCUCACUAAGAUUGACAAAACUUGAUUGAAACCUCUUUGUUAUUUCGGCAGGUAAGAUCUCAGAUGCCUUUUUUAAGGUAUUCUCCCAAUAAAACCGGCUAGUGAUCCCAGAAAGCUUUUGGCCAUAAACCUCUAAAGACAAUGGCAAUCCAUCACUGAGGUUGAGGAACUCCUCGGUGAAUUCUUCAAGUUCCGGAUGUGACAAUUCAGGUCUUUUCAUGGCAUGCAUGAGAAGAAGUUUUCUAGCAGAAUCUCGGUCCAUGAACGGUACGUCAUAAAUGCAUGCAUGGUGAAACUUUUUAACUAAUCCAUUGUUAUUAGAAGUUACCAGAAUAAUGCUCUCAUGACUUAGAACCUCAUGCACCAUAAGAGCUUCCAAUUGAAGAUGGUCAUCAACAUCAUCGAGAACCAAGAGGAUCUUGGCCCCUUGUAGAUGCUUCUUGAGAAGUUUGAUACCUUGAUCAGUGCUACUAAUAUGGUCUCCAUUAUACAAUGCCAGUUCUUUUAGAAGCAUUUUCUGCAUAUUUUGCAGCUCCUCACCAGUCAUUUGCUUCAUAUUCCCAACAAAGCACGAAGACCUGAAUGACGAUCGAUGCAAAUUGAAGUACCUCUUGGCUAUUGUUGUUUUGCCAAUUCCGGUCAUACCAACAAUUCCAACAAUGCAAGCCCCAUAAAGAGAUUCGUGGUUGUUUAUGAUAGCAUGCAAUUCAUUAACUCUUUGAUCAAUAGCAACAGGGUAUUUAGCAACUUCCAUGUCCACACUCUUCACUCUUCUAACCACAUCUUCAACGAGGGCACUUACAAGGUCCUCUUUCCUACAAUAGUGCAAUCAUGCAAAGAUGAUAGCUCAUCCUGUAAAUUAAAGAUUUAAUCCUAAAACCCAACCCAUCCUAUAUAAAGUAUUAGCCAAGCUAUUAGAAAAGAAAAAAAAAUUGUUGACUGAAAAAGCCAGUUGUGAACUUCUCAUUAUGCGUGCAUAGAUGGGAGGAUUUGGUUAUGAAGCUAAAGAACUUUAUCAACCCUAAAAAAAUAAGUUUCACUAAAUUUCAUGAAAUUCUUUCUUGAAUUUUCCCUAAAAUGGUCAAACGACCUAAAAAAAUCAUUAAGGUGAUAAAAUCGACUAAUUUAGAGUUAAAAGUAGUUACUUUAUGUGGUUCCUCACUCAGGUACCUUAGAAAUUUUGUUAAAAAGGCCUCGAUUGCCCUUGUACCAAAUACAGAACCUGGAACAAGCAGGGCAAUUGGAUAAUUAAUUCACGGGCUCAAGACAAAUGACAUAAAUAGCCAUAGUUGUUAAAGGUUAGGAAUCGAGGACAUCUUUUUAAUAUCAAAAGCUCUUGUUUAUAUGAUUGGCUAACCACGGCAGCUCUUGCCACUCUAGUGAGAGGCCCAACCGGUAUAUUUUAUGAAAGUUCCAAACUAGGGUACUUUUGGGAAAACUAAAAAAUACAAAAAUAGUACGAGCCUAAAAUAUGAAAUAUUAGAUAAUUUUUUAAACUUUCGCAUAUUUAUAUGGAACAUUUGCUAAAUUCCUUUUAAAAAAAUCAAUCCAUUUCCUAAGUAAUUCAAAAGGUUGGCUAUCACAUGCAUAGUUAUCAAUAUUGGAACGGCCACCAAAUACAUGAUUCACAAAUUUAAAUUCAGCUCAAAAAAUAUAUAAAAACACUGCACUUUCAUGCAAAUAUCAGGUAAAACAAAUCCCAUGAAAAAAUGAAGAGUAAAAUUCAGGCCAAUACCAAAACUAAAAAAAAUCUACAUAUCAAAUUAAAUGAAAGAGUAACAGGUAAAGGUUAAUUACCUGCUAUAAUCCUUAAAUGUUGGCCCCCAUAUCUCUGCAACUUGCUUCAAAACCUCCUCCCAUUUCGCGAUUGUUUCCAAACUAUAAUCUUUACUCUUUCUAUGCAUCCGAAAAGCUUUCUUGAAAGGCCCUCUAUUCACAUCUCUCAAGUCAUCAGGCCCAACAUUGUAGUAAACAGGAAUCAAUAUCCCCUUGCUCUCUCCAUUCUCUCUCUCAUCAACCAUCAUUCUCACCUCGUCCAAGCACCAUGGGGACUCUGCAAACCCUUUGCUCAGCAGAACCAGCCAUAUCGACGAAGCUCUGAUCGCUUCCACGAUCACACCGCUUAAGUUCUCCCCCUUUCGAAUCUCGCGAGAAUCAACGAAGCUCGACACUCCCAAUCCACUCAGAUCGCCAUGAAUCUUCUCGGCAAGCUUCUUGAGCUCAGAUCCCCUGUGGCUUAUGAACGCAUCAUAGAUAAUCACCCUACCUUGAACCUCUUCGGAAACAAGAACCUCAUCCAUUCUCUCUGGGCAAAAAUUGGCAACAAUGCCAGAAUCUGAAACUGUAAUCUAGGGUUGAAGAAGCAUAAACAAAUGUUUCAGGUUGAAUAACUCGAGGAAAUGAGAAAUUCUUGCAUUGAAGAGAGGAUGUUUGGCAUUGAUUAGGGUUAGGGUUCAAUUGAAUGGAAGCCAUUUCUAAGUCAAAAUGGAACGGAAAGAACGCGGGUUUUAGGUAUUAAAAAAGUAGGACGAUCUUGACUUGCGGAGCUUUCAUGGAACCAGUUGCAGAAUAAUGGAGGCCUAAGCUCAUAGGUUGACUAUGGAGCCUAAGCUCAUAGGUUGACUUUACUCUGAGCUGUCCCAUCUCUGAAAAGUCAUGACAGACUAAAAAAGAGCAUUCAACGGAUAGAAUGCACGGCUCCGCGCCGCGCGGCAAUUUGCGCCGCGAGACCACCCGAGGGUGUUCGGAUCUGCAAGGAAAUAUUGGACCAGGCGGGUUGGGUCCGGGUCCGGGUCCAAUCGGUCGGUACGCGACUUAAAUUGAGUUCCGUCCAUGCUGGAUGUAGGGUGGUUCUAGCAACAGCGGAAUUGACCCGAUAUGAGGGGCAAGCAUUCUAUGCUUUCCCUCCCCCAUGGAAGUUCUAUCUUUCUUUUUAUCCAACCGUCCAUUCUGAAUUGAGGAUUAAGAUUGCCUCAAUCACAAUAUCAUCUCUAUAAUAUUUUAUUUUUAAUUUUUUUUUAUAAAUUAUUUUGGCACCAAAUUUUGGACGUCCAUUCCUCUAUUAAACUCGUACUAAUGAAAAAUAUAAAAAAAAUAUUUUCAAUAAAAUAAAAUGAUCAAAAUACCCCAUAAAGCUUCAAAGGGUACUUUGGUCAUUAUAUUUUAUCAAAAAAUUAUUUUUAAUAUUUUUUAUAGGUACCCCUCAAUGAGAAGAUACCACGUACCAAAUUUCAUAUUCAUACAAUUUGUAUAAAUAAAAUAAAAAUAAACUAUUUUGAGACGUCGGAUCUAAGAUCAUACAAUGAGUGGCUCUCUCGAUCAAAUUUGGACGGUUGGAUGGUAAGGGGAGGAUAGAACUUCUUCUAUGCUGCAGGGAAGCAUAGAAACCUUUCCCAUUUAUAUAUAGGAAAAAUUGAGCAAGCUUUCUAUGCUUUUCCUACAACAUAGAAGUUCUAUCCUCCCCUUAUCAACCAUCUAUUCUGAAUGGAGGGUUAAGAUUGCCCAAUUCACAAUGUCACGUCUCUACACUACUUUAUUUUUAAUUUUUUUUCUAUAAACUAUUUUGAUACCAAAAUUUGGAUAUCCAUUCCUCUAUUAAACUCACACUAGUGAACAAUAUAAAAAAUAUAUUUUCAAGAAAAUAAAAUAACCAAAAUACCCUUGAAAUUUUUAAGGGGUAUUUUGGUCAUUAUAAUUUAUUGAAAAAUUAUUUUUAAUAUUUUCUUUAGGUGCGUCCCAAUGAGAAGAUGGCACGUGCUAAAUUUCAUAUUUCAUACAAUUUAUAUAAAAUAAAAAAUUAAAAAUAAAAUACUUUGAGACGUCGAAUCUAAGAUCAAACGGUGAGUGACUCUCUUGAUCAAAAUUGGACGGCUGGAUGGUAAGGGGAGGAUAGAACUUCUAUGCUUUAAGGAAAGCAUAAAAACCUUUCUCAAAAAUUUAUACAAGGCCAUAACCUUAAGUAAGACACACCUCAAAGAGUCAUAAUAAAAGGUCAUUUUGUCAAUAAAAACCCUCUAAUUGAUCAUCUCAAUCUCGAUAGGAGUGGAUAUGAAAAAAGAAAAUGCAUCUUUUUUUUAACUAAAGUUUAUUAGAAUCAUCUCAUCUCAAUCUCGAUAGGAGUAAGACGAGGCUCUAAACAAUCAAAUUAGAGCCUACUUCAAAAAAUUUAUUAGAAGAUGUUGUUUUGAUGCCCAAAUAUCCUCAAAUUAAUCAUCUCGACAUCAAGAUGCAUGCACAUGAUAAAAAAAUAGAUUUAAAGUUAUGAAAAUGGUGUAUUUUGUAGUGUAUUUUUGAACCAUUAGUUUUCAAUAUUUUCAAGUUUUUUAUGGAUCUGUCAAUCUAUACUAUUUUUGAAGCAUAAAUUUUAUAAGUAAGGAUAAAAAAUAUAUUUUAAGGCUAUCAUAAGGAUUUCCAGUAUUGAAACCACAUUUCUGGACACUAUUUGAAGGUAGGCUCUAAUUAGAUUAUUUAGAGCUUAUGCUCUAUAGUAACCGCACUCUUCGUAAUUUGAGAUGACAAAUAAAUUUUCUGACCAUCACAAGGGUUUUCAACAUUGAAACAUCUUUCGGCAUCCUUUAAAUAUCUACCUUAUUUUGAGUGUUUAAGGCUUUAAGGUGACAACCUUAUAUACAAACCUCACCCUUAUGCCUUCUAUAUAAGGAAAUGUAUGCAAUGAGACUAUUUAUUUUUAUACAAGGAUAUCACAAUUAUCAUUGACUGUUAGAAUUGAAAUUAUACGGUUGACAAUGUGUCACUGAUUUGGCACUAAGUCCAAAAUAAAAAUUCUCUAAUAUCGUGACGCAUUUUCAUCUACUGGACUUUACAUUCAAUGGUUAGAAAUAACUGCGACCUCCUUGUACUAAAACUAAAUUGUCUCAUAGUAUACAAUCCAUGUACAUGCACUUCUAAAAUGUGCGUCCCCUUAUCCAAUUCAUGUCCAUCUUAAAGAUGGACAUUAAAAGGCGGUGGUCCCACCAAAAUCAAAAAAACCAAUGGUCUAAAAAAAUACAUUAAAUAAUACUAUUGUUUGUUUUAAAAACUAAUUUUUUAAAAAACUAUAUUCACCAUAGUAUAGAUAGUCGAUCCUAAAAUUUUUUGAUCCAAAACCGAUCUUAAAUAAAUGAGUUAGCCCACUCAUGAAAACCAUGUCCUGUAUAUAUAAAUUAAGGAAAAAUAUAUAAUUAGACCAUUUACUUUUGGUAUAAAUUAGUUAUAAUUAAUCUUGACUGUUGGAUGUGAAAUUGGGUGAUUGCAUUUAUUUAAUUGACCAAGUUCAAAGUCCAAAAGAAAAUUUCUCGAACUUUGUGGCAUACCUAAGCCAUCAAAUAACAAAUCCGAUAGUUGUAAGUAAUUGUGACCUUCCUAUACCAAAAGUAUGGUCUCAUUGUAUAUAAUCCCAUAUAUUAAACAUAUAGGUGCACCCUAAAUUUUAUCAUAAAUGUAAUUUUGAUAUCAUAAAUGUAAUUUUCAUCUCUAAUUAUAAAAUUUUAAAUUUUGAAAAUGGUUCAAAUCAAGUAGAUCUACAAACACGUGAAAAUAUUGAAAAUGAACGGUUUAGAUAAUGUGUCACAAGAUGCACUAUUUCGCGCACUCGAAAUCUUUUUUUAUUUUCAUCUUCAUACACCUCGAUAUCGAGAUGAUCAACUAUAAGAUUUUUCAACAUCUAAACAGCCUUUUGGGAUGGAUUUUUGUGGUGCACCUUUUAAUUCUACAUUUUAAGGUUUGUCCUUACAUAUACGUAAUACUUUACAAUAAAAAUUAUUUUUCUUUUAUCAAUCUGGACUUUACCUAAUGCAUGUAAGGUCCAGGUGCUAGAUCUGACAUGGGCCCGAGUUUGUGUCUAGUUUCAGCUCGGACCAAAUAGGGCUGUGUUCGGACUUCAGAUCAACGUUGACCGGCACCCAGCCCCUGACCCGGCCCAUUAACACCCAAACCCCUCCUUAAAACUUGCAAAUGUGUUUCAGCCCAUUGUUUGCAAAAUCACCCGAUCUAACCACUAACUGCUCGGUUAGAUCGGAACCAGCCAGUAGCCGAUUUUGGUUUUGGGCGGUUAGGCUGAUUAACAAGUAUUUUGAGAAAAUAAAUUCAAAAAAAUAUAUAUAAAUUCUAAAAAAUAAGGAAUUUGAUUUGUAAUGCAUUUUUUAAUAUUUUUUAAAUUAUGAUAAAGAUUAAAAAUUGUUUUCGGUCAUUAAUACUCACUUUUAUAUUUUCCCAUCUUUUUUAGAAAUUUUUUUAAAGGUAUUGUUUGUAUCGAACCUAGGAUCUAAACAACCAAAUUAGAGCCAACCUUCAAAUAGUGUCAAGAAAUAUGGUUUCAAUAUUGGAAAUCUUUGUGAUAGUCUUAAAAUAUAUUUCCAUUUUUCUUUAUAAAGGUUAAAGCUUAAAACAUAGUGUAGAUCGAUAGAUCUAUGAAAACUUAAAAAUCUUGAAUAUUGACGAUCAAAAAAUGCGUUACAAAAUACACUAUUUUCAAAACUUGAAAUUCAUUUUUUUCUCAUGUCUAUGCAUCUUGAUGCCGAGAUGAUCAAUUUGAAGAUAUUUGGGCAUCAAAACAACCUCUUAUAGUGAAAUUUUCAAGGCAAGGUCAAAUUUGAUUAUUUAGAGCCUCGGCUCUAUAUAAACUUUUUUCUUUUUUAAAAUAGUCCUUAGAAAAUAUAAAAUAGGUUAAAAUCCACUUUUUUCAUUAAUUUUCAACUUCAUUUCAAUGUGUUUUGUUUUAAUCAUUCUUUAUAUGUUUUUCAUAUUUUAGUAGAUUUUUUUUUUUUUUUUGAUCGCCCUAGACUUGCCCGCUUAGAACGGUUGAAUCGGCCGGUUUAACCGGCCUGCCGAUUUAUCGGUUAGGCCGGUUAAACCGCUUCCAGGCCCAUGUCCGGUUAACCAUUCCGAUUCGAUUUUUUCGAACACUAUUUCAGCCCCUGGAAACUCUGAUCUAGAGUUGUUACAUUUAAAGACGUUAAAUUGGUGCAAAAUCUGAUUAAUCAACUGCACUUAAAAUAGAGCACUUUUAGGGUUUCAAACUCUCUCUCUCUCUCUUUGGAGAUUAGAGCUGUUGGGACUUCGAUUUUUAUAUUCUUUUUAAGAUCAAUGGAGUCUUUAUUUUAAAACUCGAGACAUUGGAAGUCUGGAAUUUGGAUAAAGGAUUAAUUGGGUAUUUGGGGGCAUUUCACGAACAUUUAGGAGAUGAAUCCUGGAUUCAACUUUUAUUUGUAUACUGUCUAGAUUCUAGUGUUUUAAAUCGGGUUUGGGAUUGUCCACCCACUAUACCGUUCUUCAUCAAAGGAUCGGCAAUCUGAAUCAGUUGAACGAGUGAAAAAAAAGAAGUCGAAAAGCAUGAAGGACAGUAUAGCAUUCACAUGAUGUGGAUGAUUGAAUGGUGCAGAAGCACCUUUCAACUUCAAAUUAGAAGAAAAAAUUAUGGAUGGGCAAUUAAAUAUAAUAUUUUCGAUUUAGUAGUUUUCUCCUAGCUGUAUAUUUCAUAUGAAAACUAUUUUGAUAUGAAAACUAUUUCAUGAUGUAAGUUUUCAUACGAAUCAAACGUGCCCUUAGGCUUACCGUACAAAUCCAGUAUUAACUAUGCUGGCUGCUACUGGCUUACCUCUUUUUUUUACCAAAUGAAAGCCACUUUAGAAUUGUCUACUGGAUGGUCUGUAUGCCCCCGGCACCUCUAAUUGUGAUUACAAGUAGAAAUUAAUGCUUGAAUUUUAUUUGAGAAAAUUAUACACCUCGCUUACACAGUUUUAAAUUAGCAGACUGUAGUGCUUGUGCCUUGUAUAUUAGGGACUGUUGUUACUGCAAUGUUCAUAAUAUUAACCAUGAUAGAUAGCAUUAUAGGUGUACAAUUAGAAUGUUAUACAGCACUGAAAAUCUUUCUCUAGCACCCAAAGUCCAUCUACAAAUUGCAUCAUUGACUCAAACAAUUUUGACAAGCCAAAAAUAUCACAAAUCUCAAGCAUCAUCCAUGUAUACAAAUCUCAAGCAUCAAAUGUAAAUGUCAAACGUGUCAUUUAUCCGCACAAAGUAUGAGAGAAAAUUUUUCUCAAGACUUUAAAGUACAAUCACUAUAUUAUUACAUACUUUCCUCAUAGAUUAUCCUCAUCCAUAUAAAUCACAGUUUGUACCUAAGCAUUCAUCGGAAAUUUUAACUGACGGAAGUGUACAAAUGACAUCCCUGUUCUCGUCCUUCCACUUAUGAAUACAAAGAAAAGCAAUCCAAAUAAGCAAAAAAUAUAACAGCAGCCUUUCCUUCACCCUUUCUUUAGCUCCUUAGAAUAUAUUACACCCAAUGCCACCUUCAUCAUCAGCAAAGAACUUCAAAUUUCCAGCGAAUGACUGCCUCAGUUGCAUCUCCUCAAUCUCCUCUCCUAACUUAACAUCAUCAACAUGAGAUAUCAAAAGUUUUGCAACCCCAGCAACGUAUGGAUCCUCAGUGGCCUUCAGGUCCACCUCAUUAGAAGGCUCGUUUGAUCCAUGAAGAGAGAAUUCAAGGCAUUUUAUGGGAUAAUCCUCGUAACUCUCUCUGCACAUUGACUGAACAAAGACCUUGGGGGUGGAGUAGCGGACUGCUAUGUCAAUUGCAUGCAUGCAAGCUUUGCUUAUUUGCAAAUUUAGAUGAUCAACUCCAAUUAUGUAGAGUUGAGGGAAAAGUGUUUGUAUUUUUCUGUAUGUUGGUGCUAGGAUUUCAGCCUGCAUUAUAUAGUGAGAAAUCUUGUUGUCAGGAAUUUCUGGUAAUUUUGGAUAUUUGGUUCUUGGGAAAUCUCUCUUCUGCAAGGAGAUUUCUGUUGACCAAGCUGCUUUCCCAUGUUUGUCUCAUGGGAAAGUGGUUCCCAGGAAGUCUACAAUGUUCAUGGCACUAUAGAAAGUAGCAGUAUUUCAUGGGAAAGUGGCUUCAACCUCAUGUAAAGAGAUUUCUGAUGAACAAAACAACUUCGAAUUUUCUGAGGGUCUCAUAGGAAAAAGUUGUGCAAAGAACACAAGAAGAAGAUACAAAAAUUUGAAAGUCGAAGAAAGAACAAUUAUUUUCCUAAAGUACUGUUUGCCAUUUCUUCAAGUUUACAUUUUCUUGUAAUUUUACAUCCUGCAGCUAAUAACAAUUUAUAAUUUAUACUUUGAAAUUUUAUACUUAUAAAUUGUAUAUAUUGAGUUUUCCAAAAUAUAUUAUGGGAUAUUUCUCAAUGCAAAGGUCGAAACAAACAAAUCAGUGGCAUGGAAAAACAUCAAAUAAAACAGAAGUAAAAUGAGUGUCACAAACCAAAAAAGAUUCUAAUUCUAACAUUAUGAUGUCAUAAGCAUUCCUGUCAUUUACUAAAGGCACCAUAGAAAACUCAAAACCAAAAACCCAAAAAUGUAGUGUGUAUAAAAGAACUAAUAAUCACACCAAAAUUUUAAUAUUUUCCUAGAAAGUGAGUAGUAUAUGGGCGUCAGGGGUAUGAGCUAUUCAAGAAGACAUUCAAAUAGGAUGAGUGAGUGGAUACCAUGGGAUUCAAAAUUAUCUAGUAUCUUGCAAUGGUUUGGUCAUUUAUUGGGAAGAAUUGGAUAAAGCAAAGGCAAAGUAAAGAACUAGAAAAAAUCAGCUCUCAUAUGAUCAUCACACUUUAGCCAUCAAAACUAGGGGUGGCAAAAGGUCGAGUCUGAGUCGGGUCCGGCCGGAUCGGGACCGGGACCAGGACUCAGACCCAAUAAUACAAUAUGGGGACCUAACCAGGUCCAGAGUUUCCCAACCUGACAAUAUAAUAUGGGGACCCAAUUGGGUCGAGAGUCCCCAGAUCCGACCCACAAAUCAAAAUAUCUAUUUAUUUAAAUAUAUUAAAUAAAUAUGUUAAAUAUAUAUAGGCAUUAUUUAAAAAUUAUCUCCAAAUAUAUAAUUCUAUUAAUUUGAAUAUUAUUUAAAUAUUAUAUAUUAAAUAUUAUUUAAAUAUCAUAACUAUUCUGGUCGGGUCUACAUGGACCCAGACGCAGACCCCAAUAGUGUUCAGUUUCAGGAUUUAGACUUGGACCCAACCUGCCGGGUCCAAAUUUUGGACCCAUACCCCGACUUGGGCCAGGACAACACGUCGUGUCAGUUCCGGGUCCAUUGCCACCCCUAAUCAUAAUCACCUAUACUUGUCCAAGGUCCCAAAAAAUAAAUGAUUCUGCUUGUAACGAUUAAUAAUUUACAUGGAGAACUCCUCCCAAAACACGUUAUAUAAGAAAUACCUGGAUUUGAAGUGAAAACAGAAGAUGGCUUCGAAUGAUUCUGCAAUUUGCAACAUCUAGAGCCUGGAAAUCUCGCAUAUCUUCUGCAGACAUCUGUACUAGCUGGAGAUUUUGUAGCUCAGGACACAGACCAUCUUCUGCCUUAGUGAUAUUUUGAGCUUGAAUCCUUGCCUCCUUUAUCUUUCGAACAAAAUUUGAGUAAAAGUCAUUCUCUGCUUUUUGUGCAGUUCUAAUGGCUACCUCUUUUUCUCUCCUGAGAUUUUCAAAAAACUCCCUUUGGAUGGCUUCUAUAUUUGAUUCCUCUUGAAUUGAUAACAUGCGAACCCAACCAGAUUCCAUGGUAACAAAUGGAGACUUGCUCCUAAGGACGAUUUUCCUUCCACUUUUUAGUUGUUCGCAAAGCCAAAAAUCACUUGUGAAGAUACUGAAAUGAAUGGUCUCCCCAGUUUCAGCAUCUGGGUAUUCAUGCACAGGCACCAUUGAAAUUGCCCCCUUGCUAAGAAAGAGAGAAAUGCUCCCUUCUCCCUCCAAAUUCAAACCACAAGAUUUCAGGAGUUCUCCAUAGUCUUUAGAAGAAUUACGUGAAAUGAAGGCAACCAUGAUCCAUGCACAUGGAACAGUGGAUUCCGGCAUAGUGAACUCAAGAUGUUGCAUCGAGACUGAAUUCAUCGUAUGGAACUCUUGGAAAAUUUCGUGCUUGUUGAACACCGUCUUUGUUGCAAAAUGCAUAGCAGGUGCAUAUAUGUGUUUCUGCAUGAACUCAUUAAAUAACAGACUUGCUUGUAAAAUACGUUAGGAUGGCUUAUUUGGUCAUCCUAGUGUUAAAAUUGUAGCAAUACUGCCAUACUUAACAUCAUAUAGUAAAUGACCAUGUAGAAAGAUGGCCACAAGGUGCGCAUAAUCCACAACAGUCGAAACUAAGGCAUAUUGAGAUGCUAGAGUACUAUUGUAUUUACAACUUAAAUUCUGAUCCAUAUUUCAAGGUUGGAUAGAGACACGAUGGUUUGUGGAUUUUUUUUCUUUUAAUAUCAUUUUCUAUAUUAUAGGAUCAAAGAGAAUAUUAUGUAUGUUAUUAUCUGUCCAUAUUUAACAAUGCUAUAUUAAUUCAAAAGGUUGAGCAGCAGAGAGCCUGAAAAUUUUAGUACAUAAUUACUUAAUCUACCAUUAGAAUAUAAUAAAUCAUAAAAUGCAUAUUUCAAGUGAGAUAAAACUUUCAAAAUAACAGAGUAAGCAGCGUAACUCCGCUUGGUACUCGUCAAGCCAAAACCCAGUUACAUUCAAAUAAACAAUACCAACAAUACAAUUCAAGCACAUAAAGCAGUAACUCACCUGAAGUUUUUGUAACCACUCAUCCCCAUAAUAGAGAAAACCCCAAUAUGUGACGAAAAUAUGCAACUCCUUCAAUGUCUUCACCUCCUCCAAUCCAUGUACAUAGUGCAACACCACGCAUCCCACUGUGUCAAGCUUUUUGAGAUGUUGAAGUUCAUCAAUGGACUGUAUCAUGGAAAGUUCUUCACAGUUCCUCAAGGUCAGCUCCCUUAGACCCAUAUUGAACCCACUAGGGACUGAAACAAUUUUCAGAAGAGGACAUCUAAUGAUUUCCAACUUUCUUAGAGUUGGAGACAUCUCAAAUUCAACCAAGUUGGGGCAAGAAGUUAUAGAAAGCGAGAUGAGGUUCAUAAACACACCCUUGACAUUGACAUGGGCAAUGGACAGUUUACAAAGUUGUAGAGAUGCCAAAGAAGAGACUGAGC
rnacentral:lncRNA from 1 species